AUGAUCUCUUACAGCUAUGAGAACUCCAUUGCCUCACCGGUUGCUUCUAUCCUUCCGAAAAAGUCUUGUUAUCACUGCUGUGUUAUGAAGUGUAAUGGUGACUCACAUUAUGAUAGUUCCCUAAGGUUUCAUUGAAUCCCGUCAAAGACAAAGGAUGCAAAACUGAGAACUGCUUGGCUAGUAAAAAUAUGGAGGGAUGAAGGACCCAAUUUAUUUUCAUCAGAUGAUGACUCCAUUAAGUUCUAUACUGGUUUCCCAACUUAUAAACACUUAACACUUUUUUAUGACUUUGUUAAACCAAAUGCUGAAACCAUGGUUUACUGCUAUGCUUCAGGGGAAAGACCAAGUAGACCUGAAGUAAGAUCUAUGCAGCUCAUUGAUGAAAUGUUUUUGUUCCUGGUCCGACUCAAACUGGGGCUGUUUGAGCAAGAUCUAGCCCAUCGUUUCCAGAUUCACCCCAACUUAUCAAGCAGGAAAGUGACUACAUGGGCAAACUACCUGUACUUUACCCUAGGAGGUCAGUGUAUCUGGCCAUCAAAGCAUGAUAUUCAGAAUAAUAUGCCAGAGGCAUUUCAUCGUCUUUAUCCAACUACAAGAGUGAUACUAGACUGUACUGAAAUUUUUGUACAAACACCUACAUCAUUGUUACUCCAGUCACAGCUUUAUUCCAGUUAUAAGAGCAACACAACACUGAAGGGAUUAAUCGGAAUUACCCCACAUGGUGCAGUUUCAUUUAUUUCCUCAUUAUACACAGGAUCAAUUUCAGACAAGGAAAUAACUAGAUGUAGUGGAAUUCUAGAUUUACUAGAGCAUGGUGAUUCCGUAAUGGCCGACAAAGGUUUUAAUAUAGAUGACUUACUUAAGGAAAAGGGGGUUGGGCUUAACAUUCCCCCUUUCCUUCAGAGUCAGGCACAAUUUUCUGCUCAAGAUGUUCAUGAAACAAAAACAAUUGCAAAGUUGAGAAUCCAUGUUGAAAGAGCCAUUCGAAGAAUUAAAGAAUUUCAUUUUUUUGAUUCAGAAGUUCCUCUGUCAAGCCUUGGCUCUGUCAAUCAGCUGUACACUGUAGCCUGCCUACUAACCAAUUUUCAAGGACCUUUAAUUUUAAAUAGUACUGGAAAAACUUAAUAAAUAAUAUUGAUAUUAUCGUAAGUAACAUCUCUUGGGAAUGGAACGUUUUGUCACUCUGGAACUACCGGUAAUAAAAAAUAUGCCACAAUUUG